rnacentral:rRNA from 1 species
GACGAACGCUGGCGGCGUGCCUAAUACAUGCAAGUUGAGCGAUGAAGAUUGGUGCUUGCACCAAUUUGAAGAGCAGCGAACGGGUGAGUAACGCGUGGGGAAUCUGCCUUUGAGCGGGGGACAACAUUUGGAAACGAAUGCUAAUACCGCAUAACAACUUUAAACAUAAGUUUUAAGUUUGAAAGAUGCAAUUGCAUCACUCAAAGAUGAUCCCGCGUUGUAUUAGCUAGUUGGUGAGGUAAAGGCUCACCAAGGCGAUGAUACAUAGCCGACCUGAGAGGGUGAUCGGCCACAUUGGGACUGAGACACGGCCCAAACUCCUACGGGAGGCAGCAGUAGGGAAUCUUCGGAAAUGGACGAAAGUCUGACCGAGCAACGCCGCGUGAGUGAAGAAGGUUUUCGGAUCGUAAAACUCUGUUGGUAGAGAAGAACGUUGGUGAGAGUGGAAAGCUCAUCAAGUGACGGUAACUACACAGAAAGGGACGGCUAACUACGUG